ensembl:lncRNA
GUGGCGAGUUUCUCAAUGCCGUAUGUUUUCAGGGAUUUUCACAACGUGGUGACAGGCGCAUGCGUAUUUAGCAUAGGUUAAGGUUUGUUUCUCCCCUGAGUGUUAAUGGAAAAUGUAAGGAAGAGACAGAGAAGUGCGAGGAACUUCUGAAUCACAGCUUCGCAGUUCUAUGCCACCGUCCGAGGCAGGCAGCCACAGCAUGGUAUGUCAGGAGAUCUAGGAUACAGUUUUCUAUGAAGUACAACUUUCUUUGAAAUUUGGAAAUUCAGGAAUCAAAUGGAAUUUACUGUAGGUUAUUGCUCAAUCUCUGUCACAUUUUGAGGGACAACAGGGGAUCGGGUGAUUAAGUGUACCAGGUCUAGACAUGCCAGGUUUUUAUCGAAACACCUCCAUCUCUUCUCACGAAUAAUGGGCUCGCGGCUGUCUUAUGGAGCAGAAACCUAACCCUGGGGGAAGGAAUAGACAUCCUGUCAUUUUCUGUAAUAACAGCCUGUGUAUAUAACUGCCUCUGUCAAAAAGAAUAUAUAUAGGCCAACCUUUUCAUAUGCAAUUGGUUUAACAAGCUUACAGAAAAUUAUACUUCAGUCUCUCUCAGCAAGUACACUGUUAAUGGUAGGAUCCUUAGAUUAUGCACAUUUUAGAACACCCUCACAAGCCUGGUGCUGAACAUUAAUCUGAAGACAUACAGCUCUAGAUUAGUCAGUGAGAGGAAGGAAUAGGUUGUGGGAGUUUCCCAAAAAUGAUGGAGAAACUUUGGUCAGCGCAGAACAUGGGGCACAUGACAUGAUUAGUACAGUUACCAGAAAUGGCCAGGAAGGAUUUGGACCAGGAAUGGCCAGGAAGCAUUAGUCUGAGUAAGAACAGAAUAGGAAGCAACAUUAUUGCAAUUAGCCAUUCAAUGAUGACCCAUAAACAGACACCAAAGCAUUGUAUCUAUCCCACUGUUGCAUCUGUAAGAACUCAGUUCGGCCUUGGACUCCUGCUAAACAUAAUGUUUUUAAUACAUCUGACUAGGCUGAAAUCUACUAACCCCCAAACUCCAUUCUGUUUGGGAAUAUACUGUGCUUGAUAAACUACAGUAUUUGAAGUAGUUGGGCUUAUUUUCAUUACCAUGGUAGUGACUGGAAACAGUUCAGGCGUACACAUCAGGUUAACAAUCCUUAUUCAAUCUUUAAUAGAGGCC